AGAGUUUGAUCCUGGCUCAGAACGAACGCUGGCGGCGUGCCUAACACAUGCAAGUCGAACGGAAUUAAGGGGCUUGCUCCUUAAUUUAGUGGCGCACGGGUGAGUAACGCGUAGAUAAUCUGCCCUGGUAUCUGGGAUAACAUCUCGAAAGGGGUGCUAAUACCGGAUAAGCCCACGACGACUUUGGUCGUUGCGGGAAA
rnacentral:rRNA from 1 species